rnacentral:lncRNA from 1 species
AUGGGGCAACUUCCAAAUUUAGCAUUCCUGCCUUUUUCCAAGGCGGCCCUCCCCAACCUCCAGCCUGUCCCUCCCCGGACCCCAGGGCGGGCAGUGGGGAAAAGGGGACUGGAGGACGGAGGUGGGGAGGUCAAUAGCCGACUUGUUUCAAGUCAAGAGUUUGGCCACGUUUUACAAACUGACUUGACCUUUCCACAGAGAGCACCCUCCCCACGCCCCUCGCCCAUUCUGCUGCUCCCGGGACUCCAGGCCACCUCCUCCGGCCUCCCCCCGGCGAGGCCACGUCCCAAGAUUCCAGAGCAAGGAGGGAGAAGGGAUAGGAGAGGGGCAGGUUCUCCCCUGGGGGAGCAAUCAGGACUGGGACGGAAACGCCCCGGCCACGAGCCUGUCCCCAGAGCCAGACCCUUACCGGAGCCCAGCCUGGCCGGAAGGGUCAGUCCGAGGCUGGGCGUUGGCCAGUGGCUGCGUGACCCCAGGAUGGGAAAGCGAGGGUUCGGGCCGCGGGGGAGAGGGGCGCAGGGGCACAGGAGCCGGGGGCUCUGCCCCUCUGGAGUCGGACAGGCGGGCCCCGAGGCGGCCCCUCCGGAGGGGCAAGCGCUCCCCACCCAAUCCUCAAAGCCCCCCAGAGGCCGCCUGGGGACCCCGUCGCCAUCGACUGCCCUCCUGGCGGUGCUGACGUCCAUCCUCUCCUCAGCGGGGCCCGGCCAGGGCCCCGGGCGGAAAGCCCCCGCCGCUAGGACGGCAUUCUCUCCGAGUGCGGCUAUUGUCCGGGGCUCUGGAGGGGCCCGGGUCGGAGCCUCCCCCAUCCCCCUGGGGCUUCUGGGAAUGUCUCCAUUCAGCACUUCCUAUGGGAAAGCCAGGGUGGAGGGGCACUGGAAACCGCCUGAAUGCUCUCGGUCCUUGCCCGGCCCAGCCUCCGGGGCCGGAGCCUCCCCUUACAGUAGCGGAGGGGAAGGGUUAUUUUUAACUCGCCUCAGUGGGCUCGGGCCCAGAAUUGGGCUGGACCACGGGGUGGGGUUGGCAGGCUGGAAGAGGGAACAGCCACUCCGUCCCUUAGCACCGCUGCUGCCCCUCCCUCCCCUGCCUCUCUGGGACCCCUCGCCCCUUCCCGAGGAGAAGGGGUGA